rnacentral:rRNA from 1 species
UACGUAGGGUGCAAGCGUUAAUCGGAAUUACUGGGCGUAAAGCGCGCGUAGGUGGUUUGUUAAGUUGGAUGUGAAAUCCCCGGGCUCAACCUGGGAACUGCAUUCAAAACUGUCAAGCUAGAGUAUGGUAGAGGGUGGUGGAAUUUCCUGUGUAGCGGUGAAAUGCGUAGAUAUAGGAAGGAACACCAGUGGCGAAGGCGACCACCUGGACUGAUACUGACACUGAGGUGCGAAAGCGUGGGGAGCAAACAGG